rnacentral:rRNA from 1 species
ACGAACGCUGGCGGCAUGCCUAACACAUGCAAGUCGAACGAGACCUUCGGGUCUAGUGGCGCACGGGUGCGUAACGCGUGGGAAUCUGCCCUUGGGUUCGGAAUAACUCAGAGAAAUUUGAGCUACUAUCGGAUGAUGACGUAAGUCCAAAGAUUUAUCGCCCAAGGAUGAGCCCGCGUAAGAUUAGCUUGUUGGUGAGGUAAAGGCUCACCAAGGCGACGAUCUUUAGCUGGUCUGAGAGGAUGAUCAGCCACACUGGGACUGAGACACGGCCCAGACUCCUACGGGAGGCAGCAGUGGGGAAUAUUGGACAAUGGGCGAAAGCCUGAUCCAGCAAUGCCGCGUGAGUGAUGAAGGCCGUAGGGUUGUAAAGCUCUUUUACCAGGGAAGAUAAUGACGGUACCUGGAGAAUAAGCUCCGGCUAACUCCGU